ACGGGGGGGGCAAGCGUUGUUCGGAAUUACUGGGCGUAAAGGGCUCGUAGGCGGCCAACUAAGUCAGACGUGAAAUCCCUCGGCUUAACCGGGGAACUGCCUCUGAUACUGGAUGGCUUGAGAUUGGGAGAGGGAUGCGGAAUUCCAGGUGUAGCGGUGAAAUGCGUAGAUAUCGGGAGGAACACCAGUGGCGAAGGCGGCUUCCUGGACCAGCACUGACGCUGAUGCGCGAAAGCUAGGGGAGCAAACAGGA
rnacentral:rRNA from 1 species